rfam:Weissella paramesenteroides ATCC 33313 genomic scaffold SCAFFOLD1, whole genome shotgun sequence.
AAAUAUCUUCAGGGCAGGGUGUAAUUCCCGACCGGCGGUAAUUUCGUUUUUACGGAAAAGUCCGCGACCCACAGUUUUGUGGUUGAUAUGGUGAAAAUCCAUAACCGACAGUAAAGUCUGGUAUGCAGAAGAAAUUA